CGACGUAGGUAACCUGCCUGGUAGCGGGGGAUAACUAUUGGAAACGAUAGCUAAUACCGCAUGACAACAGUUAUUGCAUGAUAGCUGUUUAAAAGGGGCAAUUGCUCCACUACCAGAUGGACCUGCGUUGUAUUAGCUAGUUGGUGAGGUAACGGCUCACCAAGGCGACGAUACAUAGCCGACCUGAGAGGGUGAUCGGCCACACUGGGACUGAGACACGGCCCAG
rnacentral:rRNA from 1 species